rnacentral:rRNA from 1 species
AGUUUGAUCAUGGCUCAGAACGAACGCUGGCGGCAUGCCUAACACAUGCAAGUCGAACGAGACCUUCGGGUCUAGUGGCGUACGGGUGCGUAACGCGUGGGAAUCUGCCCUUCGGUUCGGAACAACAGUUAGAAAUGACUGCUAAUACCGGAUAAUGACGUAAGUCCAAAGAUUUAUCGCCGAAGGAUGAGCCCGCGUAAGAUUAGGUAGUUGGUGGGGUAAUGGCCUACCAAGCCGACGAUCUUUAGCUGGUCUGAGAGGAUGAUCAGCCACACUGGGACUGAGACACGGCCCAGACUCCUACGGGAGGCAGCAGUGGGGAAUAUUGGACAAUGGGCGAAAGCCUGAUCCAGCAAUGCCGCGUGAGUGAUGAAGGCCUUAGGGUUGUAAAGCUCUUUACCAGGGAUGAUAAUGACAGUACCUGGAGAAUAAGCUCCGGCUAACUCCGUG